UCGAGAAUAUUCGACAAUGGGCGAAAGCCUGAUCGAGCGACGCCGCGUGCAGGAAGAAGGCCUUCGGGUUGUAAACUGCUUUUGCUAUGGAAAAAUUUUGAUUGUACAUGGCGAAUAAGGGGUUGCUAACUCUGUGCCAGCAGCAGCGGUAAUACAGAGACCCCGAGCGUUAUCCGGAUUUACUGGGCGUAAAGAGCGAGUAGCUGGUUGCGUGAGUCUGAUGUUAAACCGUGGGGCCCAACCUCACGCCUGCAUCAGAAACGGCGCAACUAGAGUCAGUGAGAGGCAAGCGGAACCUAUGGUGGAGGGGUGAAAUCCACUGAUAUCAUAGGGAACACCAAAAGCGAAGGCAGCUUGCUAGCGCUGUACUGACAGUCAAUCGCGAAAGCGUGGGGAUCAAAAAGG
rnacentral:rRNA from 1 species